rnacentral:misc_RNA from 1 species
GAUGAAGAACGCAGCGAAAUGCGAUAAGUAAUGUGAAUUGCAGAAUUCAGUGAGUCAUCGAAUCUUUGAACGCACAUUGCGCCCACUGGUAUUCCGGUGGGCAUGCCUGUUCGAGCGUCAUUAUCCUCCCUCAAACCCCGGGUUUGGUGUUGGACCCAAGUUGUGUGAACAACUGGUCUCAAAGACAAUGACGGCGUCCGUGGGACCCUCGGUGCAACGAGCUUUUAGGAGCACGCAUCGAGUUGCAAGGACCUUCCGGGCCGGUCUCCUUUACCAUUUUACAAGGUUGACCUCGGAUCAGGUAGGAAUACCCGCUGAACUUAAGCAUAUCAAUAAGCGGAGGA